rnacentral:rRNA from 1 species
UACGGGGGGGGUAAGCGUUGUUCGGAAUUACUGGGCGUAAAGGGCUCGUAGGCGGCCAACUAAGUCAGACGUGAAAUCCCUCAGCUUAACUGGGGGACUGCGUCUGAUACUGGAUGGCUUGGAUUCGGGAGAGGAAUGCGGAAUUCCAGGUGUAGCGGUGAAAUGCGUAGAUAUCUGGAGGAACACCGGUGGCGAAGGCGGCAUUCUGGACCGACAUUGACGCUGAGGAGCGAAAGCCAGGGGAGCAAACGGG